rnacentral:misc_RNA from 1 species
GGAGGUAUGGGAGGGAAGGGCAAAGGCAAAGGAGGCAUUUCGAUAGGAGGAGGUAUGGGAGGUAAAGGAAAAGGCAAAGGCAAAAAGGAAAUUAAAAAGCAUGGAAAAGGAGGCAAGAUGAAGGGAGGAAUCGGAGGUAAGGGAAGUAUUUCCAUAGGAGGAGGUAUGGGAGGCAAAGGAAAAGGCAAAGGCAGCAAGGAAAUUAAAAAGCAAAUUAAAAAGCAUGGAAAAGGAGGCAAGAUGAAGGGAGGAAUCGGAGGUAAGGGAAGUAUUUCCAUAGGAGGAGGUAUGGGAGGCAAAGGAAAAGGCAAAGGCAGCAAGGAAAUUAAAAAGC